CCUGGCUGCAGUGUGCCUGCAGAACAGCCCUGCUUCCCACACCUUCUUGCAGCCCCAGAGGGAACCCCCAUGGACUGGGCUGUGCAGCUGCCCGCAGCGCUGGAAUAUCGUCUGAUGUUUGCCUGACUCAGGUCACUGCACAAAGACAUGCCAGCCUGCCAGGCUCAUUUGUUAUUUUGGAAAUGACCCGCCACGGUUCCUGCACUGCUAAUUGGCCAUGAUCCAUUUCCUGUUUUAUGAAUUCAUCUCCUGGUCCUGCUGCCUGGUCCAAGGGGUGCCAAGUACAUCAAAACUGCAUCUCUGGAGUGAAAGGAAGGAAGAAAAUAAGACUGAAGGCAAUAGAGUUACACUGAAGAUGGCUUUGGCCCAAGGGUUUAUGCAAAACAGAUUUGUGAUGUUGCAAAUUUGUAUUUUUCCUUUCUGUUUCAAAAUGGGAAAGAGCAGAAACAGUUGAUACUGUCAUGAAAUUUCAAGACUGAAACACAAAGUAUUGGAAACUUGAGUGUCCUUAAUAGUGCUAAUCCAAGCCUGCUGGACCUGUGGACCAUUUUUGCAAUCAAAUGCUUAAGAAAUGCAGUGCAGUGAACUGAAUACUAUAAUUCUAACAGGAAAUUUCUCACUAAAAUCAGUGAGAAUUUUGUCUAUGUGAGGCUUACAAGAUUGGUUAGUACUUGAAGAACAACUUUUCUUCUUCCAUAAAGAUCCUCGCUGAUGGGUUCCUAUACUUCACCAGCUUCUCUUCUUUUCCUCUGUCAGAUUACAACAGAGGAUGGCAUGCUCUGAGUGCAGCUCCAAUACGUGGCACGUGGCUGUAUCUUUUGUUCUUAAAUUACAUGACUCUUGAGACAAGAAAACCUGCCAGAAAUCAGCCUUUGGAUGAGGAAGGCCAGGUCCCAGCUGAACCAAGCAGCACAAGUAGGAACUAUACCAAAGAAGUGGGCUCACCCAGAGCAUUCAUUGAAGUGGUGCAGAGCAUUGGGCACAUGCUGGAUCUUCCACAAAGCUUGGAGAGCUGGGCAGCCUCCAUUCCUAUCAACAUCUUCCUCACCUUUCCUCCUGUGAAGAGACAAGGAACCACCAACACAACUGCAGAACCCCAUGGACUCCCGUAUCUGCACAAGGAGGAGACUGUGUGACCCUGAUCUUGGCCAGCAUAGCACAAGGCUCCCCAGCAGUCACCUGCUUGAACCUAACACAUCACGGUCAGCUUCUAGUGAUAAUACAGCAUUCCUUAAUUUUGAAAGCAAUUAUGGGUCUGAGUUCAGGUUUUUUUUUCCCCAGAUUAAAGUCAAUAAAACACUCGGACAUCCGGAUUCCAAUCACAUGCAUAUUACUAACUGUGAUAUUUGUAUCGCUGAUCCAGAAGCCAAUCACAACACUAACUCACUCUAUUGCUAAAAUAAGGAUAGCUUCCUCAUAAGCCAAAAUAACAGCCUGUUAUCCCUUCCAAAGCCACCGUUUUUCUGGCCUCGCAGGAACAAAGGAACAGGAGGUAGGCAAUACUCUUAUGGGGAAAGUAAACUAUCCCUCGCACAAGAAGCUUUUAAACCUAAGCACAUGUACUUGACAUACUCAUUUUCUGAAACUCUAUAUUUUCAUGUAUCCCUCCUCUUAUGACAUACCUCUUACAGUAUGUUGGAAUCAGUCCUGUCUUAUCAUCAUUGCCAUGGUUACCUUAUCAUCAUUACAGUAUAUAUGUGUUGCUAUAAUACUACUGUGGAUGUCAUAUCAAAAUUCCCUAAAGCAAAAUGAUCCCAGAACUUACUCUGUACACAUCUCAGGUUGCUAAGCAUUGAUAGCUUUAUUAUAUGUUUCCCAGCUAAAACAAAGUUAGCUUGUAUGCCUCUGCUGACAUACAGCUCUUUGUCCUUUCUGGUAGAAGGCAAAUUAUUCCAUGUAUCAUCUUCACUGUAAGCUACUUCCUUACAUCAAAUAAAAAUUCCACUCUUGACUGGAUAUCUCAGCAACCUGAUUUUCCUUUACUUAUAUUACUGUAUUACUAAAAUUCACAAGAAU
rnacentral:lncRNA from 7 species